rnacentral:rRNA from 1 species
AUGCAGUCGAGCGACUGAUUAGAAGCUUGCUUCUAUGACGUUAGCGGCGGACGGGUGAGUAACACGUGGGCAACCUGCCUGUAAGACUGGGAUAACUUCGGGAAACCGAAGCUAAUACCGGAUAGGAUCUUCUCCUUCAUGGGAGAUGAUUGAAAGAUGGUUUCGGCUAUCACUUACAGAUGGGCCCGCGGUGCAUUAGCUAGUUGGUGAGGUAACGGCUCACCAAGGCAACGAUGCAUAGCCGACCUGAGAGGGUGAUCGGCCACACUGGGACUGAGACACGGCCCAGACUCCUACGGGAGGCAGCAGUAGGGAAUCUUCCGCAAUGGACGAAAGUCUGACGGAGCAACGCCGCGUGAGUGAUGAAGGCUUUCGGGUCGUAAAACUCUGUUGUUAGGGAAGAACAAGUACAAGAGUAACUGCUUGUACCUUGACGGUACCUAACCAGAAAGCCACGGCUAACUACGUGCCAGCAGCCGCGGUAAUACGUAGGUGGCAAGCGUUAUCCGGAAUUAUUGGGCGUAAAGCGCGCGCAGGCGGUUUCUUAAGUCUGAUGUGAAAGCCCACGGCUCAACCGUGGAGGGUCAUUGGAAACUGGGGAACUUGAGUGCAGAAGAGAAAAGCGGAAUUCCACGUGUAGCGGUGAAAUGCGUAGAGAUGUGGAGGAACACCAGUGGCGAAGGCGGCUUUUUGGUCUGUAACUGACGCUG